GUUUCCAUGAACCAGCCGUUUCUAGAGCUGAAAUACUGUCAUUCAGUUCGUGGAGGUCUGAAUUAAAGUUUAGGCAAAUAUCAGUUACCACGAUAGAUAGAAAAUGACUUCGGUUCAACAAUCUCUGCAAUCCUGAUCACUAUUAAAACUUUUUCUUGAUAUAUGGAAGGGAAGUGAAAACCCCGACACUUUUAUUUCGUUUUGCUUCAAAUAAGAAUCUUUAGGUCUUGGGUUGGGUUUUCUUAGCAUGUAAUUUCAAUUCACUUAAGGCCACCAUCCUACGGGGUUUCCCUUUCUAUCAACACAAAAUCGUUGGUCAAUCUCUCAAGCCAAAACAAAAGGAACUCAAACAAUGACCGGAAAAAGUAACUGCAUUCGGCAUAGAUGAAGAUGCAAUACCCAACAAAGAGAUUUGCUUAGGAAGUUCGAACAUGGCAUGGGAUCCCUUGAUUUAGUGGAACUGGAUGAGCCUUACCUUCUGUUGGAUGAGUCUCAUGUACAAAACUCAAUGAUGUUCAAUGUCCAGGUACAGUUAGGUAAUAAGUUGGGUAAUUUCAUUUCCCGCCUAGCUUCAAUCUUCUCUGUUACCUAUUCAUCACUCAUAAAAACCAACGCUAGCUUAAAAUAUGAGUUUUCUCUUUUCUUAUUACUGUUGCAAAUUGGUUGUGUAUGUAAUCACAAGAAUUUUUUCCUGGGUGAUGAGGAUGAUGCGGAUCAAAUGGUUGCAAUAAUAUGGUUGCCUCAUGAUGGGAUGAUGGGUAGGCAGAGUUUGCUGCUAUAGAUGAUAAGGAUAAAAGGCUUUACUUUGUAAUGUUAAUUUUAUACUUGCUUGGGUUGAGUUAAGUUGCUUAAAGAGAUACCAUGUUAGAGGUAGUGGUGAAGAAAAGUAGGAUGGAGAUAGAGAUGUCCGAUACUGUAUUUUGGACUCUCGUAACUGGUUUAUCUUUGUCCUGCUAAAAAAAAAUUUAAUGGUAAAUGUUUGAUUUGGAAAUAUAUUAUUGUAAAGAAGAAAAGUUGAAUGUUUCUUUUUUAGAUUUUGAUCAGAGGAUGUCAUGGUUAAAACAA